GACGAACGCUGGCGGCGUGCUUAACACAUGCAAGUCGAACGAAGUGGCGGACGGGUGAGUAACGCGUAAUCAACCUGCCCUUCAGAGGGGGACAACAGUUGAAAACGACUGCUAAUACCGCAUACUGAAGGAGGGGAAUGCGUCUGAUUAGCUAGUUGGGGGGGUAACGGCCCACCAAGGCGAUGAUCAGUAGCCGGUCUGGGAGGAUGAACGGCCACAUUGGGACUGAGACACGGCCCAGACUCCUACGGGAGGGAGCAGUGGGGAAUCUUCCGCAAUGGACGGAAGUCUGACGGAGCAACGCCGCGGGAGUGAUGACGGCCUUCGGGUUGUAAAGCUCUGUUAAGCGGGACGCGGUACCGGAAUAGAAAGCCACGGCUAACUACGUGCCAGCCGCCGCGGUAAUAC
rnacentral:rRNA from 1 species